rnacentral:rRNA from 1 species
AUGAUCAACAAGCAGACAGCUAUCGAUGACAAGCUGCGCAAGCUGGACAUGCUGUGCAUAAAGAUCAACAGUGCAGUUGAAGCAUCUAAGAAGCACGAAAUCACCGGGACCAAUCUACUCAAGUGGCAGGAGAAACUGAAGGAAGCUGGCAUAGAGGGUGAUGAGGUACUUUUCGACUUCCGGUGGCGAGCCUUGACCAAAGCCAGCAAGAGCAUCAACCAUAAUAUAGGUACACUUGGUCCUCUAGCUUACACAAAGAUUGCUGUGUCAAGUAUUAUAAAGUACUUCCACAGUGCUGCCAAUAUGCUGCUCUCAACCAACAAGGAUGUGCAGAAAUUAAACAGCACAGUGGAAAUGUUGGAGAAGCUAUCGGCAGAUAAUCAGGUGUUCUCAGUAUUGGUUGAGCUUCAGGUUUCGACAGUAGAGAAGCAUGCUCCUGCAAAAAGGAAGAACUGGAGAUGUUGGAGAAGCCAUCAGCAGAUAAUCAGGUGUUCUUGA